rnacentral:rRNA from 1 species
AGCGUAAUAGCUCACUAGUCGAGUCGGCCUGCGCGGAAGAUGUAACGGGGCUAAAACUAUGUGCCGAAGCUGCGGAUGUAUACUUUGUAUACGUGGUAGGGGAGCGUUCUGUAAGCCGAUGAAGGUGUGUUGAGAAGCAUGCUGGAGGUAUCAGAAGUGCGAAUGCUGACGUGAGUAACGACAAAACGGGUGAAAAACCCGUUCGCCGAAAGACCAAGGGUUCCAGUCNAAGGGUUCCAGUCCAACGUUAAUCGGGGCUGGGUGAGUCGACCCCUAAGGCGAGGCCGAAAGGCGUAGUCGAUGGGAAAAUGGUUAAUAUUCCAUUACUUCUGUGUAAUGCGAUGAGAGGACGGAGAAGGCUAAAUCAGCCUGGCGUUGGUUGUCCAGGUGAAAGGAUGUAGGCAUGUAUCUUAGGCAAAUCCGGGGUACUCUAUGCUGAGAUCUGAUAGCAAGCUGUACUUGUACAGCGAAGUGGUUGAUGCCAUGCUUCCAGGAAAAGUCUCUAAGCUUCAGUUACACAGGAAUCGUACCCGAAACCGACACAGGUGGUCAGGUCGAGUAGACCAAGGCGCUUGAGAGAACUCUGCUGAAGGAACUAGGCAAAAUGGUACCGUAACUUCGGGAGAAGGUACGCUGUUGUUGGUGAUGGAACUCGCUUCCUGAGCUGACGACAGCCGCAGAAACCAGGCCGCUGCAACUGUUUAUUAAAAACAUAGCACUCUGCAAACACGAAAGUGGACGUAUAGGGUGUGAUGCCUGCCCGGUGCUGGAAGGUUAAUUGAUGGGGUUAGCGUAAGCGAAGCUCUUGAUCGAAGCCCCAGUAAACGGCGGCCGUAACUAUAACGGUCCUAAGGUAGCGAAAUUCCUUGUCGGGUAAGUUCCGACCUGCACGAAUGGCAUAAUGAUGGCGGCGCUGUCUCCAGCAGAGGCUCAGUGAAAUCGAAAUCGCUGUGAAGAUGCAGUGUACCCGCGGCUAGACGGAAAGACCCCGUGAACCUUUACUGCAGCUUGACACUGAACUUUGACCUUACUUGUGUAGGAUAGGUGGGAGGCUUUGAAGCUGGAACGCUAGUUCCAGUGGAGCCGUCCUUGAAAUACCACCCUGGUAAUGUUGAGGUUCUAACUCUGUCCCGUGAUCCGGGACGAGGACCGUGUCUGGUGGGUAGUUUGACUGGGGCGGUCUCCUCCUAAAGAGUAACGGAGGAGUACGAAGGUGCGCUCAGCGUGGUCGGAAAUCACGCGUAGAGUAUAAAGGCAAAAGCGCGCUUAACUGCGAGACCCACAAGUCGAGCAGGUACGAAAGUAGGUCUUAGUGAUCCGGUGGUUCUGUAUGGAAGGGCCAUCGCUCAACGGAUAAAAGGUACUCUGGGGAUAACAGGCUGAUACCGCCCAAGAGUUCAUAUCGACGGCGGUGUUUGGCACCUCGAUGUCGGCUCAUCUCAUCCUGGGGCUGAAGCAGGUCCCAAGGGUAUGGCUGUUCGCCAUUUAAAGAGGUACGCGAGCUGGGUUUAGAACGUCGUGAGACAGUUCGGUCCCUAUCUACCGUGGGCGCUGGAAAUUUGAGAGGAUCUGCUCCUAGUACGAGAGGACCAGAGUGGACGAACCUCUGGUGUACCGGUUGUGACGCCAGUCGCAUCGCCGGGUAGCUAUGUUCGGAAGGGAUAACCGCUGAAAGCAUCUAAGCGGGAAGCCUACCUCAAGAUAAGAUUUCCCUAGGACUUUAUGUCCUCUAAAGAGCCGUUCGAGACUAGGACGUUGAUAGGUUGGAUGUGGAAGCAUAGUGAUAUGUGAAGCUGACCAAUACUAAUUGCUCGUGAGGCUUGACUAUACAACACCCAAGCAGUUG